GCUUUGCAAAGUUUGCAUAUUUUCAGUAUAUUUGUAUUACGAGUGGAAAUUGUUACCAAUACAAAUAUACUGAAAAUAUGCAAACUUUGCAAAGCUAUAUUUU